rnacentral:rRNA from 1 species
GCUGAGGCUCGAACGCGUGGGGAGCAAACAGCAUUAGAUACCCUGCUAGUCCACGCCGUAAACGAUGGGCACUAGAUAUCGGGGAAUUCGAUUUCUUCGGUGUCGCAGAUAACGCGGUAAGUGCCCCGCCUCGGGAGUACGCCCGCAAGGCUGACACUCAAAGGAAUUGUCGGGGGCCCGCACAAGCGGUGGAGCAUGCGCUUUAAUUCGAUGCAACGCGGAGAACCUUACCUGCGGUUUGACAUGGGAAUGAAAGUUCCCAGAGAUGGGAAGCGUUCCUUCGGGAACACUCCACACAGGUACAGCAUGGUGGUCGUCAGCUCUUGUCGUGAGAUGCUGGGUUAAGUCCCGCAACGAGCGCUACCCUAGCCAUUAGGUGCCAUCAGGUUAUGGUGGGAACUCUAAGGGGACCGCCUGGAACAACCAGGAGCGAAGGUGGGGAUGAUGUCUAAUAAUCAUGGCUCGUACGUCCAGGGUUAGACGCGUGCUACAAUGGUCGGUACAGAAGGAUGCC